UCUGGGAUAUGAUGAUAAAAAGAACGAAAGAUGUUGAUGGCACCUUUGCCGCGGAAACAAUCUUUUAUUUUGCACGUCAGUCUGAUCCUAUU
rfam:Brassica napus, WGS project CCCW01000000 data, contig: 11015